GGUGCAACAAUUCGCGCUUGUUGCACUUCCAUUAUUCACGCUAACUAUCCAGAAGCGGCUAUCCGGAUCAAGGAAAACGACGUCCAGCUGCAAGCUACUGAAAACGUAACAAAGGGAAAACUGGGCGUGUCCGACGUAGGAACGGAAAAGGAAAGAAAAAUUUAACGUCACAUCGAUUUUAAAGGGAUGUAGCGAUCAGGACGACGAUUUUGAAGUUUCUGAAAGUGACAGGAAAUUUCUUUUGGAUACCAAAGGAGUCUGUCAUUCCGAAGAAACUCAUUUCCCAGGAGAUGCAAGAGAUUCGAGGUUAUAAGUAGUUUUUACAGUGAAAUAAUCCAACAGACGACGACUCACCGUGCGCUUUCACCGUGUACCUGCGUAGCUACAAUCCCAAGAAAUACGAAAAGAAAAAAAAAUGAGGGGAGCAGGAGAAUAUAACGGAGAGAGCCAUUGUUUGAGGAGGAAGGAGCGGGGAGAAGAGAGGAUGAAGAUGGUGGGGUCGAUUCCAGCAAGCCGCAAGUUUACUGGAUCGUCAAGGGAGAUGUUCGAUUGUGCGAGGAGGCGAGGAGCGGAACGUUCAUCUCGCGACAACUUGCGAUCAGCUUUGAGGCGACCGGAAAUUGCCGGAAAUUGACUUUUGUACAUGGUAUUACGGACCGAUGAAUGAGGGCGGCUGCACGACCUAGACGAAGUGUGUCAAAGAGGGUGCCGGCUGCUGUCUGAGUUAUCGUGGAACCAGGAAAACCACCGCAAAAUUAUGGAUAUAAAUUGUCCCCGACGAGAGAGAGAGAGAGAGAGAGAGAGAGAGAGAGAGAGAGAGA